GGCAAUUUGGGUUUCUGAAAACAGACCUGAUGCCUGAAAACCAAGGUGGUCGUGAUAGAUUUUCAAAUCUGCCAAAGAGUUCCUGGACACCUGAAAGUCACCAGCUGAAGCCAGUAUCAAUAACAUUAAAGCAAAAUAUUAUACAAAAAAUUAAAAUGCACAUUUAAUACAACUUAUAAAGCAAAAUACACAAAGGAUAAAAUUAUAUGAAAACAAAAUUAUUACAUCAAUUAAUAAAAGUACACGAUUUCAACAAUUUUAGCUUGUAAGCUACAAGUAAAAAAAAAAAAAAAAGUUGGCUAUUAUUUCAAAAUGCAUGUAAUAUGCUAGUAAAAUGUAUUAUCUUACUAAUAGUAAUUAAUAUUCUUUUCGUUCCACAAAUAUAAUUUUUUUAGUAUUUUCACACAUAUUAAGAAAACACGCUAAACUACCAUAAUAAAUGUAUUGUUUUAUGUAAUUUUCAAUUUUCAAUAACUUUUAACCAAUAGUAAUUCAAUAAAGUCAAUUAAUUUCUUUGAAAUUUACAAAUUUUUCAUAGAAAACACAAAAAUACAUAUUUGUGAAACAAACUUUUUCAAAAAAGUCUAUCUUGAUGAAACGGAUGGAGUAUUAUGUAUAAUAUUUUUAUUAUAUAUUUUAUUGCUAAAUAAAAAUUUUAUGACUUUUGUUUACUUUUUCACCAAUAAAAGACUAUAAUGCAAAAUGUAAAAUAUUUAAAGUUUAAUUUGAAGUUGUUAUUUCGGAAAUAAUCACCUUCGAAGUUUAAAUUUGUAAUAUUGCAAACUUUAUUUGGAGAUGUUUUCACGGUCGACUUGCUACAUGACUCUUUUUUUUUUGUAGCAUGCUACAUGACCCUCUAUUCUUUUUUUUCCCCUAUUUAUUGUUACUUUACAAUUGAAAUAAUAAGGCAAAAUACAAUAGUGGAUGACUUUUUUCCCCAUACCACCUUUUUCGGUUUUCUCUAUUUGGUUGUUCGAACCUGCACAUGCUCAUUUGAUAGCGUGGAAGGAUUGGCCAUCAAACAAAUAAAAAUUCACAAUCAAGGAUAUUUAUUAUCAGUUUUUGUUGUUGUGCACUUCAUUGUAAAAUAAAAAAAAUCCAAACACGGAUGAUAACAACCGUGGAUCACGAGUAAACUAAUUCACUCAGUCAUAAAAAGAAAGAGAUAUAGUGAGCAAAAAAUCAUUUUAAGAUAGUAUUGAUCCAACCAACCAAACAUUAUCUUCAAAAAUUACAAUGUUUUUACGACAGUUGAUAAAAAAAAAGCUUAUUUAGUAAACAUAAAAACUAUGGAGUAGUUUUUUUUGUAAACACAAACUAUAGUUUCAGACUUUGUUUUGUAUUCUUUCAACAAAGAGUGUAACUAUAAAAACAUUCUUAUCAACUUUUCGCUCAAGUUGUUACAGAAAAAAACUUAAUCAAGAAUUAAAAUGACACUUAUAAAAUUAUCAAUAUAAUAAAAUUAUUAAUUUAUAGAGGUUAUAUCAAUUAAAAACUAACAACUUUUAUUCGUGUUUUCAUUCAUAUAUAAUAGUAAAGUGUAAUUUCCUAACUUCAUUUGAACAUAUUCUAAUAAAUAGUUUGUAGAUUAAAAACAAAUCACACUUUGAAAAGAAAAAAAAAUCAAAUAGUCCACAUGUUCAAUAAAUAGGCUGCUCCUUGGUUACAAAACCGCGCUCAUCGACUGCUCGCUGCCGUCGAGACUCUCGUGUGAGACCGUAAUUUUUGUCAGUUUUAGUUAUAAUCUACGGUCCAGAUUUAAUAUCGUACGAAACCACUAGAUCCACGAUACAUCCAACACAGAAGAGUGCUCUCCUCUCCUCAACUCUAUUUUGUUUUUUUCCUCUCAUUCUUUUUUUAGUCGAAACUCUAAACCAACUAACCGAAAAAAACAAAAAACUCUUUCUCUCCUCUCCAUUUCUCUCUCUAGGAGAGACAACCGGAAUCGCACGUCGACGGGAAGAGUAUCGCCGGAACUAUUAUAAUUACCGCCGGUCGCAUAGAUUAUUCGUUGGAAACAACGCGUCGUGAGAGGAGAGGAAAUUCGAAAAAAAGAAGAAAAAAAUUAGAAACACCGAUUCACUUUUUUUUUGGGGGUUAUUUUAAUUGAUUUGUGUGAAUUAAAUAUUCUGCGAUGGAUGUGAUUGGAUAGAAGGAAACAAAAAGGAAAGGAGGAAGAUAAAAGAGAAGGCGAAUUAUUCUGCUCCUCUCUCUCUCUCUCUCUCUUUCUUCUCUGUCGAACAUCGCUGUUGCUGCUGUGUGUUUUCUUCGUGCAUCCUUUUAUUUUUCAAGGUAAUGAAUUUCACGAGAUCCAUUCUUCACAAGUUUCUUUCUUUUUUUAAAUUUAAUUUAAUUUAGUGGAAAAAAUGUUUGGGAGGAAGCGUAAUUGUGUUUGUUUGUAAAUUAGGUAAGCUCUUUGUAUUUGUUUUUUUAUUUGCUGGUGAGUAAUUUAGGUUUAUUUUCUUAAAUUAAGUUAAACUGGGUGCCCAAGUUUGUGAAUUAGGUAGGAGUUGGUUCCCUGUUUGCAUAUAAUGAGCUGAACAAGGAUCAUGAAUUAGGCGAAAUUGUAGUCUCUUAUGGCUUUUUGAAAUACCUAAUCUUUGUCUUCCAGGUGUUUCUACUCCGCUUUAAAGGAGAGAGGUUUAAGAUGAUUUUUUUCGUAUUGAACUUCUUCUUAGAGUACGUAAAGUUGCUGACUUUGUUUGGAUUUAGGGUUUGAUUUUGCUUAGUUCUAAUUGAAUUCUUGUGUUGUUUUUUUUUGUGUCCUUUGAGUUAUUUUGCUUAAUCUUUUUUGUCUGGCAAGAUCCUUCUUUGCAAUGAAUAGUGGAUUUUGUUUCUUUUGGAGACUUACUGGCUUUGAAUCUAAAACUGGUUGUUCAUCUUUCAGGGGAAGUGAUAUGGUCCGUUGAAAAAGACUAAAAAGCUACAAAAGAGAUUUUGUUUUAUUAUUCCAAAUUUUGCUGUCAUCUGCAUGAUGCCGUCUGAUAUAAUGGAACAGAGAGGUGUAUCAACACCUUCCCACUUUCGUGAAGAUACUCGUAUUAGUUCAGAGGUAACUUUUUCUUUUACUGUGUAGCACCAUCUUUGUCACAUUAUCUGCCACUAUUUUCUAUGAUGUUUAAAACUGUUUUCUUUUUGUUUCUCAAGUAUACUUGUUCUUUUGUCUGGCAGAGGCAAUUUGGGUUUCUGAAAACAGACCUGAUUCCUGAAAACCAAGGUGGUCGUGAUAGAUUUUCAAAUCUGCCAAAGAGUUCCUGGACACCUGAAAGUCACCAGCUGAAGCCACAAUCUAGCUUGUCUGGGGUGCACCCCUCUGUUAGCCCUAACGCAAGAAACACCACAAAUGGUAGCCAGUGGGAAAGUAGUUUAUUUUCCAGCUCACUGUCUGAUACAUUUAGUAGAAAAC
rnacentral:lncRNA from 1 species